GGCACAUGACAUUAAAAGACAUGUCACGGAGGACAAUUUGAGGAGAACUCUGCUUGAAGUUGCACACAAAGAAAUGGUGCAAGACCCAGCCUAUGUAGCAGAGUGUUGGAGCAAUAUUCUGCAGGGACUCCAUCUUCCUCCAGGAGGACUAGAUGAAGUGAUGUCUAGUCUCACUCCCACAACCAGGAAGGUUGUAGCAAUGUUGCAACAUGAAGCUCUCAACAAACGAGAGUGUUAGAUUCUGGAUUUCCUUAAAAAAUUUAUCAGGACCUGUAGUGAUGUACGCCUGAGAAAAUUUCUCCGGUUUUGCACAGGUGCUGAUCUACUUGUAUCACAGUCCAUCCAUGUGCGCUUCACUGAGCCAAAGAGCACCUUUACCAGAAGCCCCCAGUCACACACAUGUGGUUGUGUGUUAGAAGUGCCAAACAACUACGGAUCAUACCUUGAGCUUGCUGAAGAUUUUACAAGUGUACUUGAUGCCAACAUGUGGGUAAUGGACAUUAUUUAGAGGUUUUAGGACUCCAAACAUAAUGUUGACAGGGACAUCCCAAUUUUUAGAUUAAUAAAUACUAUUGGACUAGUUUAAACAUUGGUAUGUUAGUGGUGUUUCACAGUAUUUGAUUUCUUAUCUAAGUGA